rnacentral:rRNA from 1 species
GACGAACGCGGGCGGCGUGCUUAACACAUGCAAGUCGAACGCUGAAGACCUGGCUUUUGUUGGGUUGGAUGAGUGGCGAACGGGUGAGUAACACGUGAGUAACCUGCCCCCUUCUUUGGGAUAACGCCCGGAAACGGGUGCUAAUACUGGAUAUUCACUGGCCUUCGCAUGGGGGUUGGUGGAAAGGUUUUUUCUGGUGGGGGAUGGGCUCGCGGCCUAUCAGCUUGUUGGUGGGGUGAUGGCCUACCAAGGCUUUGACGGGUAGCCGGCCUGAGAGGGUGACCGGUCACAUUGGGACUGAGAUACGGCCCAGACUCCUACGGGAGGCAGCAGUGGGGAAUAUUGCACAAUGGGCGAAAGCCUGAUGCAGCGACGCCGCGUGAGGGAUGGAGGCCUUCGGGUUGUAAACCUCUUUCGCUCAUGGUCAAGCCGCAACAUUGGUUGUGGUGAGGGUAGUGGGUAAAGAAGCGCCGGCUAACUACGUGCCAGCAGCCGCGGUAAUACGUAGGGCGCGAGCGUUGUCCGGAAUUAUUGGGCGUAAAGGGCUUGUAGGCGGUUGGUCGCGUCUGCCGUGAAAUCCUCUGGCUUAACUGGGGGCGUGCGGUGGGUACGGGCUGACUUGAGUGCGGUAGGGGAGACUGGAACUCCUGGUGUAGCGGUGGAAUGCGCAGAUAUCAGGAAGAACACCGGUGGCGAAGGCGGGUCUCUGGGCCGUUACUGACGCUGAGGAGCGAAAGCGUGGGGAGCGAACAGG